rnacentral:rRNA from 1 species
AUGAUACUGGGAGGAUCGACCUGCUGCUGCUUCACCCAGCUGCAUCCCGCCGCCGCCGCCAGGCUGCGCUUGCCGCCGGCUCGCGCCGCGAACACCUCCUCCGAGCCGACCGCCGCGCGCCUGAGGGCGGUGCUCGAGCAGGUGGACGACGAGCUGCGGAAGGGGAACGACGAGGCCGCGCUGUCCCUCGUGCGCGGCUCGCAGGGGGAGGGCGGCGGGCUCCGGUGCUUUGGCGCCGCGAGGCAGGUACCUCAAAGGCUUUAUAAACUAGAUGAGCUUAAGCUAAAUGGGAUCGAUACUUCUUCUUUCCUAUCUCCUGUGGAUCAGACUUUGGGAUCAAUUGAGAGAAAUCUCCAAAUUGCCGCGCUUCUUGGAGGGCUUUCUGUUUCAUUUGCGUUUGAGCUGUCUCAACUCCAAGCUCUGCUUACCUUUGUAGGCCUGCUAUUCGUGUGGUCUGUUGAUUUGAUAUAUUACAAUGGAGGGGCGAGAAACUUGGUUCUUGACACAAUUGCUCACAGUCUCAGCGAGAAGUACCACAACAGAGUUAUUGAGCAUGAAGCUGGUCACUUCUUGAUAGCAUACUUGCUUGGAGUGCUUCCGAAGGAAUAUACUAUCACAUGUUUAGAUACACUUAUGAAACAAGGAUCACUGAACGUGCAAGCUGGGACAGCUUUUGUGGACUUUGAGUUUGUUGAAGAGAUCAAUACAGGCAAACUGUCUGCGAAGAUGCUGAACAAGUUCUCAUGUAUUGCACUGGCCGGAGUAGCAACUGAAUAUCUUCUGUACGGAUACGCCGAAGGAGGACUAGAUGACGUUAACAAGUUGGAUGGACUGUUCAAGAGCCUGGGUUUUACCCAGAACAAAGCUGAUUCACAGGUGAGGUGGGCUGUGCUAAACAUCGUUCUGAUCCUGCGCCGCCAUGAAAAGGCUAGAUCGAAGCUUAAGGAGGCAAUGUCUUCUGGGAGGUCAGUUGGAUCUUGCAUCGAGGUCAUAGAAGAGAACAUAAACCCCGAGGAUAUUUGA